rnacentral:rRNA from 1 species
GACGAACGCUGGCGGCGUGCUUAACACAUGCAAGUCGAACGGAAAGGCCCUGCUGUUGUGGGGUGCUCGAGUGGCGAACGGGUGAGUAACACGUGAGUAACCUGCCCUUGACUUUGGGAUAACUUCAGGAAACUGGGGCUAAUACCGGAUAGGAGCUCCUGCUGCAUGGUGGGGGUUGGAAAGUUUCGGCGGUUGGGGAUGGACUCGCGGCUUAUCAGCUUGUGGGUGGGGUAGUGGCUUACCAAGGCUUUGCCGGGUAGCCGGCCUGAGAGGGUGACCGGCCACAUUGGGACUGAGAUACGGCACAGACUCCUACGGGAGGCAGCAGUGGGGAAUAUUGCACAAUGGGAGGAGGCCUGAUGCAGCAAAGCCGCGUGCGGGAUGACGGCAUUCGGGUUGUAAACCGCUUUCGCCUGUGACGAAGCGUGAGUGACGGUAAUGGGUAAAGAAGCACCGGCUAACUACGUG